ACUUUUGUGCAAUAAUUAAAUCGAUGGUUGGGGAGCCCAGUGGUCUCGGGCCAGCCCCACCUUCUUUCUAUAUUUGCAAAUAGAAGAGGACUCUGGACCCUUUCCAACUUGAAUGUAAUCAUCUCUAGGGGUGGAGGCCCCUUGGUCCCCAGAUGGUUGGAUCCUUUCUGAUCCUGUAUCUACCUUCAAGGAGCUCGAAGAUUAAGAUAACCAGACUCCAAGGUAUUUAGCAUCCUCAUAGAGAUUGGGGUAAUUCUCUUCAUUCUCAUACUAAGAAACUAGAAGGGGGGAAAGUUUAUCUGAGGUCAUGAGGCCAGGAUUAGAGCCAGCGCCCCUCCCUGGUCCAUUCUCUUGCACAAAAGGAUGGUGGCAGCCAUAGGAGGGCACCGCCCAGGCUUCCCUUCAGUGAAGAAUGUUCUGGAAGGAGUGUCUGUUAGCUGACGGCCCCCAGCUGUUGCAUUUUCCCUUUGGGAUCUGCCGCAGCAGUCCUGCUGAGGCCACACUUUGUCCAGGCUGUUCCCGCCCAAUGACAGCACGACGGGGACGGGGCGGCCGGUGGCAGGGGGUGUGGGUGCGCCCAGAGCUGGGCCAUUCUUCCUGACGCAGGACCCCUCCGAUGAGCCGUCUUUGCUCUGGGGCUCCACGUCAGCCUGCCAGAGACUCUUCCAGAGUUUCACUAUAUCUGCGGCCCUUCCCACCCAGCCUCCGUCCUUCCCUCUCCUUUCUCAGGGGUCAGACUUGCAUCGCGGUCUCCCCUCCUAUUCCUGUCCCUCCCCACUUUAUCCUUCACGGGCAUUUUCCCCCCAGUAAAUCUCUUGAACUUCUAGUUCCAUCUCAGUGCCUGCUCCCUGGAGGGCCCAAACUGCCACAGUUCCAGUUGCUCCGGGGUAAGGCCGGGCGCAUCUCUGCCCAGGGCCCCUGUUGCGGCUGCUCUUGGAAAGUCAGUCCCAGGACCAGACUGUUCUCUGACCCAGAACUCUUGCUGAAUGGCCACUCUGAGCAUGAGUCUGAGAACCGAAUGCCGACCGCUGCAGAUCCGUACAUUGAAUCAAAGACUCCCCAGACUGGCUUCCACCUGGGGCCAAGGUUGUUGCUGUGCCCAGUUUGAGCCGGACAAGCAAGAAGGAGCAAAGCUCUGCAACCAGGUGGCUGCGGGUUCGGACCUACCUUCGUUUCCGAGCCGUUUUUGCUUCAUUUGCUCUCAUUUGCACCUUCUUCAUGAGAAAUGCUCGAUGACGGGCGCCUGGGUGGCUCCGUCGGUCAAGCGUCCGACUUCGGCUCAGGUCAUGAUCUCGCGGUCCGUGGGUUC